GACGAACGCUGGCGGCGUGCUUAACACAUGCAAGUCGAACGGAAAGGCCCUGCUUUUGUGGGAUGCUCGAGUGGCGAACGGGUGAGUAACACGUGAGUAACCUGCCCUUGACUUUGGGAUAACUUCAGGAAACUGGGGCUAAUACCGGAUAGGAGCUCCUGCUGCAUGGUGUGGGUUGGAAAGUUUCGGUGGGUGGGGAUGGACUCGCGGCUUAUCAGCUUGUUGGUGGGGUAGUGGCUUACCAAGGCGUUGACGGGUAGCCGGCCUGAGAGGGUGACCGGCCACAUGGGGACUGAGAUACGGGCGAGACUCGUACGGGAGGCAGCGGUGGGGAAUAUUGCACAAUGGGGGGAAGCCUGAUGCAGCAACGCGGCGUGCGGGAUGACGGCCUUCGGGUUGAAAACCGCUUUCGCCUGUGACGAAGCGUGAGUGACGGUAAUGGGUAAAGAAGCACCGGCUAACUACGUG
rnacentral:rRNA from 1 species